rnacentral:misc_RNA from 1 species
GGGGACCCUGCCAUAACCAAAACCUACACUCCACAUGGACAAGAAACCUAGCACUACAAGAAUGAUUUUACUAGUUUUUAUAUAUUUACAACCUAAAUUCUAAUCAUUCACCUGAGCUCUCACAGGAGCUACCAAGAUUGGGCAUUAUGUCAUGAACUAACAAUCUUACUACAUUGCUGCCUGAUGAACUUGAGAUAUCAAUGCAUUCUUGUAGAUCUGCAUCGCACGCGAUUAAAACCCACUCGUGGUCAUCAUCUAGGUACUUGAUAUCGAAAGUUCCCAUCUCUAACUUUAGCCUCUUGGAUACUUCCUCCUUCAACUUAUAUAUGCCAGAGUUCAAACAAAGUCGAAAUCUUAUGAUGUCUUCCCUAUAGGUUGCUUUUAUAGUCACGGAUGUUACUUCAGGCCUGGAAGAAAAUUGUGGCAUCUUCUCGACAGGAAGAGGAACUUGAUUCGUAGCAAUUCCAUUAGAACAUGGUGGGUUUGUCCAACUGUAUUCUGGGACACGUUCAUCAAACAUGGUUUCUCCAGCCGGACAGAGAUUUCUCAGAUCAUGUGAGCUGCCUGCAUCCUCAACUAGCAUUCCCCUAAACUGUUGAUGAGUGUGUUCUGGAAUAAAAAGCCCAGGCAUUAGGAAUGCAGUGGAUAAGUUUAAUUCUCCUGUGGUCUGACGAGCUGGUUCCAAAGAGCCUUCCACUUUCAUGACCGACUCUUGUGUAGGUGAAUUGAGCAGCUCAUUCUGAGGGGAGGACUCAUUUGCAGGGGAAGGACUACCUUGGCAUGAUCCAUGGGAGGUAGGCGUCCCCGUGCUCUCUUCUCUAGAGAAGCUCCCGGUUCUGGACCUAUGUGACCCUUCACGCACAAAACCAUUCAGCUUUGGAGAGAGCUCUUCAUUCCCAAUAAUCCGGCUUCCAAGCAUUUGGUCUGUAGGUUCAGCUUCUUCAUGACUUCCUGGUGUUCCAUGGUUGGAGAACUCAUUCUUCUCUUCUUGGUACUCCGAAGCUUUACACGGCGAACCAUUUAUGCCUGCAGGCCAAGAAAUAGAACCAACAGCAACAGGAAGUGAAUUUGGUGCAAGUGAAGUCAGGCUGAAUGUUCCAUCAGCUCCUUGCACAGAUUCAAUGACACGUUUUAGCUUUGAAAGGGACCGGUUAACCUUGUUUAUCUUGCGAGAUGG